rnacentral:rRNA from 1 species
UACAGAGGGUGCAAGCGUUAAUCGGAAUUACUGGGCGUAAAGCGUGCGUAGACGGUUGCGUAAGUCAGAUGUGAAAGCCCCGGGCUCAACCUGGGAAUUGCAUUUGAGACUGCGUAGCUAGGGUGCGGAAGAGGGAAGCGGAAUUUCCGGUGUAGCGGUGAAAUGCGUAGAUAUCGGAAGGAACACCAGUGGCGAAAGCGGCUUCCUGGUCCAGCACCGACGUUCAGGCACGAAAGCGUGGGGAGCAAACAGGG